GUAUAUUGUGAGACAGUAGGUAUUAAAGUACGCUAACAAUAUAGAAUAGCGACUGCAUUGUUUUUCAUUAGUAUGACUUGUGUUUUUGUGUAGGUACGUAUAUUUAAUGUACGUACCUACACGGACACAAUUUAAAUUUUAUAUGUUUAGUAGAAAUAAAAAACGUGUUUUUGUAUAUUUUUUCACAUGUUGGUAAAUAAAAUGCAUAUUUUACAAUUUUUUAUUGCAUAUAAAUUCUAACCCUAGUUAUUAGUUAGGUACCUAGUGUUUGUAUAGUACUAUCAAUUAUAAAAUAUAUCUCUGACAUCAUAUUCCGUAAGUAAUUUUUAACGGUGUAUAACAGUUGCGUGAGCUAAGGUUAUAAAAUUUACUACCAAUUAUCAUUUUGGUUCAAAUUUAAUCAAAAACAUUUAUGUUUAUUUCCAUUGAUUAAUCAAUUCAUUUUUAUUCAUUUUAUUAAUAUUUAACACCCCAAAUUGAGUUCAAAAUUGUUUAUACCUUUAUUAAAAAAAAAAAGAGCCAAAAAAGGUGAUUUGACACUCAGACGGGGGAGUCUGGUAACCAUGGUAAUUGGGUCUCCUUCUACCGUUAUGAUUACACCAUUGUUGAAAGUGAAAUUUGUCGGAUAUACUUAUUUAUUGAUGGACAUGCAUACACAACAAAUAAACUAAACAAUAUCACAUAAAUUGUAUACGAUUUACUAUACCAUAUAUCAUUUUUUUUUUUUUUUUAAAUCAAAUCUAACAUUUUCUAACUUAUAGUAUGUAUAUUGUUUAUAAUAAUAUUAUACCUAUGCCGGGUUGCAUGAUCAAUUUUUCAUUAUUUAGGUAUUUAGGUCGCUAAACAUUUAUUGAAUCAAUAGUGAGGUAAAUAACAUGGUUUUUGUGAAAAAGAGGAAGUUACACUUUGGUGGAAAUCGCCCGGCCACGCUUACCCUGUUCAGUUGGUUAGAAACAUAGACGUUCAUUAUUCCCAUUUAACUCGUACACCUGGAAAUCUGGGAUCAUGAAUUCGUUCUCCCGUGCGACACAAAAUCCAAUAAAAUAAUAUGAAGGUCGUCGGUCGGUCGAUCAAUUAAAAAUAUCUCAUUUUAUACCUACAACGGCUGUAACACAACGGGAAGUAACUAUUUAUUAAAGAAAUUUAACGAUCAUUUUCAUGUACACUUAUGUUAUAUAAUCAAUGCAAUAUAAUAGUCGGUUAAUUGUUAUUAAAUUAUUGUCUUUUCGACAGUAGGUAUAUUUUAAAAUCGUAUAGUAAAAUAGUGUAAAAUUCAUUUUUAAAUAAUUAUUUGAAUUUUCAAAAUUAUGACAAAUGUAAGAAAUAUUGUGAUGUGAAAUUGGCAUACCUUAUAUAGACAAAAAAUAUAUUCGGUAUGAUUUUUAUGGAA